rnacentral:lncRNA from 1 species
ACUCAAAAAAUGUUGAAAGUUCAUAUACUUUCACGCAAAUAUAACCCAGAAAUGUAACACAUGCAAGACAACUUUGCAUAACUACAUAAACAAACUAUCAAAUCAUUUGUACAUAGCCUUAAGUCUAUAUAUACAACUCAAUUUUAUACUAAGAGUGUGUUUGCUUUUUAUCCCUCUAAAUGGAUGGAUAACAAAAAUUUAUGCCUUUAAAUGUUUGCUUUCUUAUCCCACAUUUUACACAACAUUAUUUUUCCUUCCUUAUUUUCACUUCAAGGAGGGAUAAUAUUAUCCCUCCAAUUUUGGUGUGAUAAUAUUAUCCCUCCUUGAAGUGAAAAAUAAGAAAAGAAAAAUUGUGUUUAUGUAAAAAUAUGGGAUAAAGAAAGCAAACAUUUAAAGGNAUCUAUAAAUAGGGCUCUUAUGCAUAGAAAUAGAAGGGAGACUCUUACUCUUCACUUGUACUUAUAACUCUUUUCCAAUAAUAAAAACUCUAUCAUUUUACCAUUUUACUAUCUAAUUUUAUUAUGGAAUUAUUCACAAACUCAUCAAUAAUAUUAUACUUUUUUCAUUAUUUUCAAUACACUCAAUAAUAUCGUUUAACUCCUAAAAAAUUAUUUAGGGAUGGAUGAAGUAUAUGUUGACAUUGACUCGAUUUUAAUUAGUAUAGUAAUUGAUUGAUAAAUGCAUCUACAGUGCAACAAAAAAACAUAUAGGUGUUUGUUUUUUAUCCCUCUAAAUGGAGGGAUAACAAAAAUUUAUGCCUUUAAAUGUUUGUUUUCUUAUCCUACAUUUUACACAAACACCAUUUUUCCUUCCUUAUUUUCACUUCAAGGAGGGAUAAUAUUAUCCCUCCAAUUUUGGUGUGAUAAUAUUAUCCCUCCUUGAAGUGAAAAUAAGGAAGGGAAAAUGAUGUUUGUG